ensembl:lncRNA
GGUGUCGUUACUGUUGGCUAGACGUAUGCAAACAGAGGCACACGUUUUUACUAUAAAGUGAGUUACUGAGAUUACGGGUUGUUCUUUCAGUUACUCUUUCAGCUCCACUGGCUGAGCGAGCGGGAGGAGCAGCAGUGGCACGAGGGCCGGAGCUGUUGCGUGGGUCUGGGAGCCCAGAUUCUCAUCCCGGUACAGCCUGUCCUGCAGCCUUUCGGGGGGAUGUCCCUGCAGCAGCGCGCCGGGGAAGGGAGGAGAAAUCUCCUGGCGCUGCUAGGGUGCAGGAACGGAGGAGAGCCUGAGUGGGAGGCGAGGCGCCAUCCUUGGGUACGCUGCCCUUGUGCCACGGGGCGGCCGCUGGCCUCUGGGACAGGAGCGGGGGGGAAGGGAUUUCAACCUUUUGGGGGGGUUGUCUAGCAGAGCCCUCUUUUUUGAGGGGUAAAGUACAUAUGCCAGCGGUAUUAUUAAAGCAACGUGCUGCUGUCCAGGGCAGUUUAACUUGUUCUGUGGAACGUGCUGGGAGCAAGUGCCAGGUAACCGCGGGGAAGUCGUGGUGAAGUCCGAGGGCUCUUGCUCUCAGGGCCUGGGGGUGGGCGGGGUCUCUCUGGGGAGCUCUAGCGGUUCAUAAUGGUUAAUUUGUUUAGCUGUUGUCUGAAGAGUAAUGUAUUAAAUCUGUUCAAGUUUCUAUUGGUAUGCUGUGAAAAAUUGGUAUUCUUUUGCCCAUGGGACUUUGGCCAGACUUCUGAAGAGGUAAAAUAAGCACUUAGAUUGCUCCAGAUACGUAAUUUCUUCAGCUGAGGAACGAAUACGUGAAUUUCUUCAGUUGAGGAAGAAACUGAAGCGGGAGCAGAAUGCCAGGCUGCAGCAACAGAGGGAGUGUUCGAAGGAGCGCAGCUUGGAGGUGGCAGUGCUGGAGAGGCGUGUUAGUGAGUUGCCAGAGCGCCUGGGGAAGAGAAAGGCAGCUCUGCCACAGGAAGAGAAUGUACCGGUUUCUUCAGAUGGGAAUUCCCCACAGCCAGUGGCUUCUGCUCCGGUCGAGUGGCAGCAGUAGGUCCUUCUAUCCAGUCCUCUGCUAUGCCAUGUAUUGCUUCCAGACCUGAACUUUGGGUGAAAGCAGCAUUCUCAGGUGGGACACGAGCCUCGCCGGGCAGGGGAGGGUCUGCUAAAAUCACAAACUCUGCCCAGCGUGGGAGAUGGGAACUGUUCACAAGCUAAAGGUCCUGCAGGUAAGAGCUUACAAUUAAUAGUUCUUAUACGGAUGUGUUUUGGUUCACUUCACAGCUCUGUUUUGGUGUUUUGGGUUUUUUUUCUAUUUGUUUUUAAAGCAAAGACUUAUUUGCAAUGUGGGUCUCACUACUUGCAAUCAUUUUUUUCUCUGCCAGUGAAUACGUUUGAUAAGCACUGAGGUUCUACGAUUCAGUUGUUCUAAAUUAAGGAAUUCUCUUAGUGAGCAAUUUGAGUUGUUAGACAGCGCAGACUGCAGAAGCAUUUUUCGGUAAACGGAUUGUUUUUUAGUUUAUUUUAAAGCUCUCCUAAAAACUCUACACCGGCGUGUGUUCGCUGGACCUGCCAGGGGGCUGCAGGGAGAAGCAGCUGGGGGGGGUUUGCUCUCUGCCCCUUUCCCACCUUCCCC